rnacentral:rRNA from 1 species
UCGGGAAUUUUGGGCAAUGGGGGAAACCCUGACCCAGCAACGCCGCGUGAAGGAUGAAGUAUUUCGGUAUGUAAACUUCGAAAGAAUAGGAAGAAUAAAUGACGGUACUAUUUAUAAGGUCCGGCUAACUACGUGCCAGCAGCCGCGGUAAUACGUAGGGACCAAGCGUUGUUCGGAUUUACUGGGCGUAAAGGGCGCGUAGGCGGCAUGACAAGUCACUUGUGAAAUCUCUGGGCUUAACCCAGAACGGCCAAGUGAUACUGUCGCGCUAGAGUGCAGAAGGGGCAAUCGGAAUUCUUGGUGUAGCGGUGAAAUGCGUAGAUAUCAAGAGGAACACCUGAGGUGAAGACGGGUUGCUGGGCUGACACUGACGCUGAGGCGCGAAAGCCAGGGGAGCAAACGGGAUUAGAUACCCUAGUAGUCCCUGAGCGGGCUGGCAAGGCG